GUAGAUAUAGUUUAACCAAAACACUAGAUUGUGAUUCUAUAGAUAGAGGUUAAACUCCCCUUAUCCACC
rnacentral:tRNA from 3 species